UUUUUAAUAAGUUAAUUACUUUAGUUAGUUUAUUAGGUUAGUUUUUUUAUUAUAUAUAGGGUAAUUUAGUUAGUUUAUUUGGUUAGAUUAUAAGGCUAAUUAGGUUAGCUAGUUAGGUUAGAAGAAAAAAAGAGGAAAAGCAGAAGGAAAAAAAUGAAAAAGAAAAAAGGAAAAGAAGAAAAUAAUUAGAAGAAGAACGAAAAUAAGGAGAAGAAGAAGAAGAAGNAGAAGAAGAAGAAGAGGAGGAGGAGGAGGAGGAGGAGAAAAAAGAAGAAGAAGAAUAAGAAGAAGAAGAAGAAGAGGAAGAAGAAGAAGAAGAAGAAGAAGAAGAGGAGGAGUAGGAGGCGGAGGAGGAGGAGGAGAAAGAAGAAGA
rnacentral:lncRNA from 1 species